rnacentral:rRNA from 1 species
UAUGUUUUUCCGAGGCAACUCGUGUCGAACAGGGCUGAAAGAUGUUCAAACUUGACCCUUUAGAGGAAGUAAAAGUCGUAACAAGGUUUCCGUAGGUGAACCUGCGGAAGGAUCAUAAUCGAUUUAAACAUAUACCGUCCAAAAACGGCAUAUUUUUACAAAAUAAAGCCUUUAACAGGCAAAAAUAAAGUACAUGUGAAAAAGACGGGUACCUGAAGAAGGCUCAAAGCAUUUCGCCCGACUUCUCUCACAGCACAUACAAAAUAUCUAGUAACCUCGGUAGUCGGAAAAUAUUCGAAAAGCUAAAAUUCUGCGAAAGCAAAGAACAGAAGCGCUCGAAGAACACAAAGUGUCAUUAUUAUGACCCUGAACGGUGGAUCACUCGGCCCGUGGAUCGAUGAAGAGCGCAGCAAAGUGCGCUAAUCCAUGCGAACCGCAGAACACAUGGAGCAUCGAAAUCUUGAACGUAAAUGGCGGCCCAGCUUCACUGCUCGGGCCACAUCUGACUGAGGGUCGGUAGAUUGAUGAACGAUUAUUCUGGGUGCUGAGAGGAAAGUCAUUUCCCUCGAUACCUUAAAUCCAAGUGGUCUACGAUCGAUGGGAGGCAUCAUAGAGUCAAAGCAGCACCGAAGUGUCUGGAGCUCACUUUACUCUUUGCUAUAAACCUCGUCGAUCUCCAAGACUGUAAAUGCUAAGUACAGACUGAAAGUUUGCCCAUAAGGCGUUUGAGGCAGUGUAUAGUCUCGGACGGUACGUGUGUGUUUGUCUGUACGCCGGGCGUGUCGGGAAACUGACCACCGCGACGAGACAGCCGUAUCGAGACAAAACAUUGACGAGCCCGUCGGUAGCUUAAGUCGCUAGAGUACGAAGCGCUAAUCUAAUCAUCUGACCUCAGUUUAGGUGAGACUACCCGCUGAACUUAAGCAUAUCAGUAAGCGGAGGAAAAGAAACUAACAAGGAUUCCCUUAGUAGCGGCGAGCGAACAGGGAAGAGCCCAGCACCGAAUCCCGCGCCCUGCAAAGAGGACGCAGAGAAAUGUGGUGUUUGGGAGGGCCGUGCGCGCCUGUCCGGUAUUAGCCCAAGUUCUCAUGAACGAGACGAGCAACCCGUAGAGGGUGUCAGGCCCGUCGAUAGCUAGCCGC